AUGUCACAGCUUCAUUCUCAGGGACAGAGGCAAAGUUUGCUCAUGGAACCCAGGUCUGGACCUGGAACUGAUGUGCACAUGGGAGUCACCAGGGCCUGUCCUCUCUGGGUCCUGGCAGAUGGGCAAAUCAUCUAUUUUUGUAGGAGUUGUAACCAGUGUGAUCACUCAGGCUGGAUCAAGGUAUUUGCAGAAGGGACUAAGCUCAUAGUGAUCCCCCAUGAGAGAAGCCUUGAUUCAUCAGAUACUGCUCCUAAACCCACGAUUUUUCUUCCUUCAGUUGAGGAAAUAAACCUUCAUAAGGCUGGGACAUAUCUUUGUCUCCUUGAGAAGUUUUCCCCUGAUGUUAUUAAGGUAUAUUGGAAGGAAAAGAAUGGCAAUGCAAUUCUGGCAUCCCAGCAGGGAAAUACCAUGAAGACUAAGGACACGUACAUGAAAUUCAGCUGGCUGACCGUGACUGCAAAGUCAAUGGGUAAAGAACACAAAUGCAUCGUCAAACACGAGAAUAAUAAAAGAGGAGUUGAUCAAGAGAUUCUUUUUCCUUCAAUAAAUAAAGAGGUUGCUGGUACUAAUCCUACAGUAGAUGAUUGUCUGGAAGAUAAAAGUGAUUUACUGCGGUUGCAGCUCACCAAUACCUCCGCCUACUACACCUACCUCCUCCUCCUCCUCAAGAGCCUGGUCUACUUUGCCAUCAUUUCCUUCUGUCUGUUUAGGAGAACAGCAGUCUGUGGCCGUGGAAAGACUGCAUAACACAUGAUGGCCCAAUUUUUCUUCAUUUCUUUUCCCUGGACGUGUCUGCUGAGGGUGUAGCUGGUCUUCCUAUCUGGGUUUGGAUUAUUUCAGUCCCCAUGCACUUUUCUAUCACAUCAUUAUCCCAUACUGGUUUUCAAAACACUGGGUAAAAGACAAUUUCUCUCUGUAACAAUAACCAAUUUGGCCACGCCUCUGGUGCAGGGCCCAAGGGUGCCCUUUAGCACCACCUUUCCUAUAAUCUCUAUCAGCUCCUCUAGCCAAGCCAGGUAACCAUGCCUUCUGAGUACAGACAGCAUGCAGCUCCUUGUCCCAUUCUUCAGUGCUCUUUAACCAGGGACCUGCCUUAAAGCUGUCCAUUUCUCACACCCAGAAGCUACCUUUCCAGUUACUUUUAUUCUGUAUGUUGUGUUUUAUAACUGGCACAAUAAAUUUUUUUUAAA